rnacentral:rRNA from 1 species
UGGGGAAUAUUGCACAAUGGGCGCAAGCCUGAUGCAGCCAUGCCGCGUGUAUGAAGAAGGCCUUCGGGUUGUAAAGUACUUUCAGCGGGGAGGAAGGCGAUAAGGUUAAUAACCUUGUCGAUUGACGUUACCCGCAGAAGAAGCACCGGCUAACUCCGUGCCAGCAGCCGCGGUAAUAAGGAGGGUGCAAGCGUUAAUCGGAAUUACUGGGCGUAAAGCGCACGCAGGCGGUCUGUCAAGUCGGAUGUGAAAUCCCCGGGCUCAACCUGGGAACUGCAUUCGAAACUGGCAGGCUAGAGUCUUGUAGAGGGGGGUAGAAUUCCAGGUGUAGCGGUGAAAUGCGUAGAGAUCUGGAGGAAUACCGGUGGCGAAGGCGGCCCCCUGGACAAAGACUGACGCUCAGGUGCGAAAGCGUGGGGAGCAAACA